CCAAAAAAUGGAAAUGGAAGGAAAUAAUGGCUAAAAAUCUUCAAAUUAAACGAUUACCCAAUUUCUAUAAUCAUUUCACAAUCGGUGAUUAUAAACAAGGCUCAGUAAAUAAUAGAUAUUAUAGCCAGAGGGGCUGUAACAAAACAUAAUUCAAACCACUUGUCUGGGGUAGAGAAGUAAAAUAAAAAGUAAAAAAAAAUUUUUAAUAAUUUUCUGCAACAUUGGUACUACUUUAAGCAUGACUAGUAAAUCACAUCUAAGAGGUAAAAUCUUAAUAUAAUUCAUGAAUUAAAUAUUAAGAUAUUUUGUAUAACUUGAAAUUUUCAGAAAAUUGUGUUUUUCCAAAGAUGAGUUUGAAGAAAAUUAACAGACAAAUAAAGGAUUUGGAGACGUUGCAGUUGAUCAUUUUAAUUCACACAGAAAAGCCUUAGAAACUUAAUAAUAUCUAAUUCACAUACACUUAUCUAAGUAUAUUACUCAAGUAACCUAUUUUAAAUUUUUGUCAAAACCAAAAGUUAAUUAGUGGUUUAAUGUUUUUAGUUCAUGCAGUAGAUUAUACUUAUUACGGUUUUCAAAACUGAAAUAUAUGAUGUACCACAUACAAGGAACUAUGAGUUAAGCCAAUGUAUUAUCAAUUUUUCAGACGUCGACUUUCUUGAAGAUAAUUCUACCGAUUCAGAUGAAGCCAUACAAUAUAGGAGCAGAUUAUAAAACUUAAAGGCAAUGCAAUUUUUCUGAGCAAGAAUCCAAUUUCAAUAACACAAAGGGUCUCAACAUAUUUAAAUUGCAAAGAAACACAUAACUAGUUUGGACGUUGGUAUUUUUUCUGAAGGGGAAGUGCAUCUAGUUGGAUGCAUUAAACAGUGUUUACACGCAUAUUUUGCCCGUGUCUUGUUCUAAACAAUUGGAUCAAAAGCCACAUCCAGCUGUCAUCACACGUCAUAUCAUUUGUGAUAUCGUAACUAUUGCACAAGAUUUUUGACAGACGUUUCACCUGUCAGAAUAGUUGGCAUGAGCUGUGAACAAAUAUAUAUUGAAGAUGUUGCUGAUGAGCUGAUAAAAGAAUAGGGGUGUCUUACAUACAUAUUAUAUUCAAAGUAGUAAUAUUAAUUAUCAAAUUUAAUAAAAUAUGUAAAUUAUAGGUUUACUGGUUGUCAAACCCUAUCCCAUUCGUGGAACUUACUUCUCAACAAGGAAAGACAUACUUCUUUGGAAGAAGACUAAGUGAACACCAAUUACCUUCAGCUGCACUCUGAAUCAUAAUUGUGAAUUAUUUUUCAAAGAUUUAUUUAUAAUUAUA